AGCGAACGCUGGCGGCAGGCCUAACACAUGCAAGUCGAACGAACCUUUCGGGGUUAGUGGCGGACGGGUGAGUAACACGUGGGAACGUGCCUUUAAGUUCGGAAUAACUCAGGGAAACUUGUGCUAAUACCGAAUGUGCCCUUCGGGGGAAAGAUUUAUCGCCUUUAGAGCGGCCCGCGUCUGAUUAGCUAGUUGGUUGAGGUAAUGGCUCACCAAGGCGACGAUCAGUAGCUGGUCUGAGAGGAUGAUCAGCCACAUUGGGACUGAGACACGGCCCAAACUCCUACGGGAGGCAGCAGUGGGGAAUCUUGCGCAAUGGGCGAAAGCCUGACGCAGCCAUGCCGCGUGAAUGAUGAAGGUCUUAGGAUUGUAAAAUUCUUUCACCGGGGACGAUAAUGACGGUACCCGGAGAAGAAGCCCAGGCUAACUUCGUG
rnacentral:rRNA from 1 species